rnacentral:rRNA from 1 species
AGUAAUUAUUUUUGUAGGUUUAAUAAGUGAAGGGUGGAAUAACAUGUGUACAUAUUGCCCGUCGCUCUCGUUAUUUUUGAGAUAAGUCGUAACAUAGUUGAUGAACUGGAAAGUGUAUCUUUUU